GCCACGCACCGACUGCACGCAAAGCGCAGGCGCCAGCACAGGAGACUGGAGACGCGCACAGCGCUUGAGUGCAACAGGGAGAGUUAGGGAAAGCCGCAUGCGCCGAAGAGGGAGCGGACAACAGAUUGAACGCAGGAGAAAGCCGAGGGGGAAGGGGAAGUGGACGAGAGCGCAUGCGCUAAGUGACAGCCGCGGGGACGACCGUACACAUGCAAAGGGAGGAGAACGAACUAGCUAGAAAGCGCAUGCGCAGUAGAGAUGUGUGACGACUGAUGAGACGUAAAGCGCGUGCGCCGCUGAAAGUCAAGCUGUCUGGAUACGGGUAUUGGCUAAGGAUCUCGAGAACGCGUGCAUAGUGCUAGAGACAGAAGAGAGCGCAUGCGCUAGAGAAGUAAGUAUGUGUGUGCGUGUAUUGCACAGCAGGGGAGGUCAGGAAGAUACUGACCGCGCACGCGCCGUGACAGGACUGAGCGCUCGGGUCGCGUGUGGUGUGAGGCGGAAGGUCCUAGUGCGCGUGUGCGGGGUCUGUCUCCGCUCUGGGUAGGAGGCUUCUGCUGAGCUGUGGCUCGUGCCCUUCUCCCGCGCGCGCCCCAUGAGAGAACCGUUUCACGUAGAGGUGGUGCUGUUCUCUCAGCCGCCUAGGCGGGAGGAGGGGUUGUGUGCGCGGCUGAGGGGGUUGCACUGUGGGAGCACCUGGGUGAUCCGGUGCCGGCCUGUGCUGCUCGGCCGCAUCUCUAUCCCCAUUCUGUUCCGGGGCGCGGGGACGAGCUGCGCUGCCUUCCCGUCUGGUGCUGCCCAGGGGGGCUCCGUCGCCCUCUUUCCCUGGCCUGGGGUACACGGCUCUGGCUGGUGACGUUUGCCUGCCGCUGCCUUGCCUGCGUGUGUUCCCAUGGCGCCAUCAGGCUGGGGCGGUAACGCCUUGCGACGGUGUUGAGCUCAAACUGGCCUUUGCAGGCAGAGACCCUCCCCCUCCCCUGACCCACCCUGGGCUAGAGUUUGGCCAUGCCCUGCUUCUGCCCACAUUCAACCUGCAAGGGUGCAGUUCUCGGACUCCUGACCUAGAUCGAGCUCCUAGUCAAGCAGGAUUGAUUAUACAGCACCCUUGUGGAAACUACGCAAUUGAUAACACGGGAAAUUAGGAGUAGGUAAAUAAACUACAUUCAAAAGCAGCUAAAAACACAGUAACAGGUGGAAACAGUGGGGAGAUUUAGAGCUAUGUGAUCGGCAAGCAUGGGCAAGGGGGGGAGAAAUUCAGGGGUGCACAGCAGGCCCAGUACAGUGCCAGACUGCAUGCCAGGGAGAUCUAGUCACAUCUAGAGUGUUGGGGUUCUUAGGGAUUGGCUUGUUUUCGCCUUGUUUUGAAAUGGGAUUUGCUUGAUUUUUGGCUUAUUGUGAAAGUUGGGGGUGCUUAUUUAUCACGUGAAAAUUGGCAACUGUGCUACAACCUUAGGCAAUUUUCUUCAAAAAAGUGUUUUAAGUUGGGUCCUUAAGUAGGUGGCCUGAUUUUUUUUUUAAAGCAUUUGCAGCUCCCAGCACUAAAAAAUAGACCACUUCUUUAGGCAUCUAACUUUAUGCACCCAGGGCUAGAACUGGUGAUUUAAGCUUUGCAACACUCAGAAUUGUAGCACUUUACUACCUAGUGAAAUCCACAGUCCUGAAUUAGGCACCCAGGAUCUUUAUAUAAUGCAUGGAGAGAGAGGCCUCUAAAAAAAUUUCCCACUAAAGUCAGCAAGCUGAGCAGAGACCUGCUUCAGCCAGCCAAUAGGAAAUUAUGAGGAAAGGGUUGGGACCUGAACUCUGCCCCUCAGAGGGAGUUAGGCACCUAUUUCCACGUGAAUUCAUAGUCAUGAAACCUCUCCUGGAGCUAGGUGCCUGGACUGUUUUUUUAAUUUUUUAUUUUUCAAGAAAUACCGGAAGAGGUGGCGGUGCCUUCCCAUAACUUUCAGCUCAGUGGUUAGAGCAUUCACCUGGAAUGUGUUGGAGAUCCAUAUUCCUCCCUGUUUCAGUGCAUAUUCAAUUAUUUAUACACAGUGGAACAUUGAAUUUAGGCACUGAACUGCCACUUUAGGUGCUUAAGUCAUUUUGUGGUUCUAGACCCAAGUGUAGAGCACUUUGGAUUUACAGUUCUCCACCACAUCUUGUUCAAAGAUUUGCAGUAUACAGCAGCCUACCUCAUCAUUUUUGUUCAUAAGUGCCUGUUUAAGGAGGAAAAGUUAUUUUCCCUUUGCAUGGGACUACAGAUUAAGUUGUUUUAUGUGAUAUCCUAAUGCUAGCAAAUUAUUGAUAAUAUCGUCCAGUCUAAAAACUGAGAAUAAGUACUAGCUGGUUUUGCUAAACUAUUUUGCCCCCAUCUUGGUACCUAAUAAAUCUGUUCAAAACAAAUUGAAUUUUACUUUGGAUUCUAUUUUAAUAAUGCCUGUAGCUAUUGUUUUAAAAAUUUAAAGGUAGAUUGGUUUUUAAUCAAAUCAUGGGCUUUUGCCUCAUUCUCCAGAUAUCAGUUUUACUGGUUGAGAAUCUGUGUUCCAGGUUCCCUGUCUCUUGGAUCUCAGCUGGAAAUGCUUCUCAAAGAGGGACAAAAACUAUAAAAAGGAGGGGAAAACACCCCAAGACCCCUCCUCCCCAUCCGUCUCUGGAUCUGAGAAGACAAAAGAAGCAGCCGCUGGACUCUGGAGGAGAGUCCUGAUGUGAAGGAUUUGGUCAGUAAUGCUGCUGGAAGCAUAUGGUACAGUGAAGCUGUCCACGACCAGCGUAAAUCUCUCUGAAUAGGAGACAGGGCUUUCUCUGGGUCUGUUCCAGCCGGUGGAACGUACUCCCACAGGAUAGAAAACCCAUAUCAAACACCAGCACUUUCCAUUCUGGAUCGGUGAGUAGCGAUCCAUCUAUGGGGAUCGAUGUAUUGCGUCUAGUCUAGAUAUGAUAAAUUGAUCCCCGAAUGCACUCCCCGUCGAUUCCGGAACUUCACCAGGGCGGUGAAGUGGAGUCAACAGGGGAGCGGUGGCUGUUGAUCCCAUGCUACGAGGACGCGCAGUAAGUCAAUUUAAGUUGAUCUAAGAUACGUCGAGUUCAGCUAUGCUAUUCUCGUAGCUGAAGUUGCGUAUCUUAGCUUGAUUCCUUCCCCCCCCAGUGUAGACUAGGGUAAGAAGUACUUUGAUGUGGCCUUCAAUAACAGACACACACAGCACGACCAACAUAAAAAUCAAACAACUUCUCAAUUUUCUCCUUGGUGAG